rnacentral:tRNA from 1 species
GGGUGGAGCAGCUCGGUAGCUCGUCGGGCUCAUAACCCGAAGGUCGUCGGUUCAAAUCCGGCCCCCGCAACCA